rnacentral:lncRNA from 10 species
AUUUCAAAGAAUUACAAGCAAGGAAUAAAUGUGACUAUCUCCAAGUUGCAAAUGUGAGUUAAAAUUGUUUGAAAGAGCAUUUAUUCACUGAAAAUAAACUGUACACAUACACAAUAAGGGAUAUUGAUGAACUAUUAAUAGUUAUUAUCUCGAGGAAGUAUAUACAUACAGAAUUAUGCACUUAAAAUAAAAAUUUUAUCCUGUUAGUUUGCAAGUUCUUUCUACAUGAAAUGCAUGAACAGAUCAUGCUUUCUUGGUUUUACUGUGUUGCUCACGUAAAGAUUAUUCAGGUGAUGGCUUGGCACGGUGGCUCAUGCUUGUGAUCCCAGCACUUUGGGAGGCCGAGGCAGGCAGAUCACUUGAGAUCAGGAGUUCAAGAUCAGCCUGGCCAACAUGGUGAAACCCUGUCUCUACCAAAAAUACAAAAAUUAGCCGGCUGUGGUGGCACAUGCCUGUAGUCCCAGCUACUUGGGAGGGUGAGGCAGGAGAAUCGCUUGAACGUCGGAGGCAGAGGUUGCAGUGAACUGAGAUCACACCAUUGCACUCCAGCCUGGGCAACAGGGUGAGACUCUGUUUAAAAAAAAAAAAAUUUCUUCAGGUGACCCAACAUGGAGGAGUGAGCCGUCAAAGUCAGACGAUCUAAGCUUCCAGACUGUUUUGAACCUCCCAUCUUCCAUUUCUUCUUGGAAUCUGCAUAUCAAAAUUAAAAUAUUUUGGGGGACCAGUUUUACUGAGUGGAAUUAAACUAUCCAGCAUUUUAAAAUAUGUUGGACAUGUUUUUAAGAGGAAGAUCUUGUUCAGCUUUUGGCUCCUGCUUGAGCAAGCUCAAGGAGCAAAUGCUGAAACAUCUCCCCACUGCAAUGUCAACUCAUUAAUGAGAAGCAAAGUCCAACUGAAUUCAGCUGCAAAUUUCAGCAUUAACAAAAUCUGAGCCAACUUCAGGACAAAGCCGAAAGGAACUAAUGUACCAUAAAUUUACCCAUGCCAACCUCUACGCUGCAGACAAGGCAAGGAGAAUGUGUGGGUUCUGAGCAAGGGCAGGGCAGGGAGGGUUCUCUCCUUCAGGAUGUGAUCAUUUCAAUGUGCCUAAUUCAGUAGAAAUGUUUUUAUUCAAAUGAAGAGAGGGCUUUAGUUAUCCUGGAUGGGGAAUUUAUUUUACCACUACAGAAAAGGCACUGGGAAUUAAACAUUUUUAAGAUUACAAGUAAAUGGAUUCUUGGAGGCAAAUGGAUUGUUGAUACCAGUUUUCUCCCAUUCAUUUUUUUUGAAGAGGAUAAAAUAGACUUUCCUUUGUGGCCUGGGAAAGGAAGUAGCUGGGGCGGGGUGCCAUGCUGUGGCAGGCUGUAGGAAGAUAGGCAGGCCCUUGUGGUAGAAGCCCUUUUGGCUGCUUGCAUCAGUGGUUACAAGGAAGAAAUCAGGGAUACAUUUGCAAUAAAGAGAAAUAAUCUGCUGGGCACGGUGGCUUACAUCUGUAAUCCCAGUACUUUGGGAAGCCGAGGCAGGCAGGUCACCUGAGGUCAGGAGUUCGAGACCAGCCUGACCAACAUGGAGAAACCUCAUCUCUACUAAAAAAAGACAAAAUUAGCUGGGCGUGAGCCACUGUGCCUGGCCUUUAAAAGCUUUUCAGUUGAAAGGUAAUCUUGGAACACAGGUGGGUUCCAGUUGCUUGGAGCAUGAGGAACACCUGAUUGAAUGUCCUAACGUCAGACGUGUGUCUGCAAGUGGAAAGUGAAGCCUGCUGCAGGAAGAGGGAGGUGGUUGGUGCUUCCUAGAAGGGGUGGGCCUUUAAUGACUGCACCUGCACAGUGCUAUCAGGUCCUUAUUGUGGGACCGAAUCACUGACAUCCUAAUGAAAAAAUUAGCUAGGCCAUUUGCAGGUACAAGAGCACAGGUGGUCCUUGUGCUCUUUUUUGAUUCGUUUGAAGGUAGGUGUGAUUUGCCUUCAGGACUUCAUCAGCAACAAUAGGAUUUGAAUAAGUGGAUAGGCUGCUGUAUGUGGUUGUGUACAAUUUUUAAAGGGCUCUUGUACACAGGGUGGGGUGUGGGCAGGGAGAACAAAGCAUGGUCCCCAGUGAUGUUUAGUAAAAAUAUGUCUAGAAAGUUAAUAAAACUCUGGUCUGUGCUUAAGGCAAUAACAACAUGAGUCUCUGGCAUGAAUCUGUGUCCUGUUUAGAGGACAGGUUGUUUGUAAUCAACCCUUAUUCUGUCAUCUAGAGUUCCGUGUUUUAAGCAAUGAAGACAGAAACUCUAUCAAAAGUUUCAUGCCUCAGAAAUUUGUUUUAUCUUUACUUUGUGAGUUUAUAAAACUUCAUGUACCCUGAAUCUUUCUUAUGUCUUCGUGGAAAAUAAUUUUGGGGGAGCACUUUUUUCUCACCCUAAUAAACAUGAAAAAGACUUUCAGAACAGAAGUACUUUAGAUCUAGCAGAUCUAGCAAACCAGAUGCUGCUUUUCUGCUUUUGAUUCUAAAAUAUGCAUAUUCCUUUCCUGCAGCUGGGCAGCACAUGACAAGAAAAAGAAAAGACUUCUGACAGCCCUUUUAUUCAUCCAGUAAAUGUGAGCAACUCAAAUAUUAGCCUAAGGAACACUCAAAAGGUAGCAUCUGAGAGACAGGCUAAGUUGAUGGUUCUUCAUUAGGCAGCUAUGUGUUUGGAUAUAAAGACUGAUGAUGAACUUGGUUGUCUCCGAGACCAGUACUUCCCCUAUUUCACUGUGUAUACAAAUCACUUGGGGGUCCUGUUAAAAAUGCAGAUUCUGAUUCAGUAGGUCUGGGCUGGGCCUGAAAUUCCACAGUCCUUGGUAGCUCCCAGGUAAUGCUGACGCUGCUGGUUCCCAGGCCACAUCUUGAGUCACAAGGGGCUGGACAAUUUCUUGUUCUAACAAAGGCCUGGAGAAGGCAAUUUUCUGGAAUGGCAGAUGGAGACACCCUCAGAUUUCCCAGAAAUAUGAACAGAAAAAAGACGAUUUAAUGACUUAAAAGUCAGAACAUGGCACAAAAUAAAUUGUAAUGUUAAAAAAUGCAUAGAAUAGGCUGGGUGCAGUGGCUCACGCCUGUAAUCCCAGCAUUUUGGGAGGCCAAGGCGGGCGGAUCACAAGGUCAGGAAGAUUGAGAACAUCCUGGCUAAUACGGUGAAACCCCGUCUCUACUAAAAAUACAAAAAAAAAUUAGCUGGGCGUGGUGGCGGGAACCUGUAGUCCCAGCUACUUGGGAGACUGAGGCAGAAUGGCGUGAACCUGGGAGGGGAGCUUGCAGUGAGCUGAGAUCGUGCCACUGCACUCCAGCCUGGGCGACAGAGCGAGACUCCGUCUCAAAAAAAAAAAAGCAUAAAAUAAUAUUCCAAUAAUUAUGACACAGGCACACAGAAUCACCAUUACAUAAGAUGCAGAUUGUAAGAACGCCAUCCCGUGAGCAGGUCAGCCUGCUUCCCUUGACGAUCAUUUCCUCUGCAGAGAUUACAUUAGGAGGAACAUGAACUGUUGCAAUUGGGAUAAAAUUCUGCUGAGAUGUACUUAAACAGUAAUUACUGUUUACUCAGAGCAGAAAACAAUUUAAACCAGGUGAUGAGAAGGAUGUAGAAUUCAUUAGUUUUCUUGCCCACAGCUCCUCUAGGAGAAAAGAAUCUGAUUGCUUGAAAAAAAAUUGAUUUAAAAAAUGGCAAAUGGAGGUAAUUUUAGAUAUGUAUUCACAAAGCUGCCCCAAACAUACUGCCCUAUUCAGAAGUUGUUUCUAUUUUUUUUCCCCCAAAGAACUAACAUAAGCUCAAAAGAUUGAGACAGACUUGCACAGAAUCACUGGGAGGCUAAGUGUGCUGAGGUUGCUUCAAGGCAUGACUCAGGUGUGGGCCCUGGAGACCCUCUCCUUGUAGAGCCUCACACAUCAUUUCCCCUGUAACACUGAUCAGAUUCUGUUUGGCAAAGAUCACAGCAUAUACUGGGAGGCUUGGAGGACAUGGCUAAAAAUACAGCAAAAUUACUCCAGUUAUAGUAUCAUGGAACUUCUGAGUCACUGCAGAACUCAUAGAACAAAAUGAAAUGAUCAAAGUAGAACAUAUUUAAAACACACGCACACACUGAAGCAACCCUAGUUUUUUGACAUAAUAUCCUCUAAGGACAAAAACAUAGAUUGUGACCAAGACUAAUGGUGCAGAUUUUACUCUAAUUUCCGGUAGUGGAAUUUCAAAGCCAAGAACUAUUGUUGAACUUGAAUCUCACCAUUUCACAGAGCAGCCAAUCCCGCUUUGACUCAUUCGUCCCCUAACAGAAAGAGAUCUUCAAAAUAGCACGGCGGAGCUUCUGAUGGCUGAAGUGCUGCUGAGUAGAACUUGUGCUUUAAUUUCCUUUCUGGUCUUUGUUGACCGUUGUGGCACUGUGAACUGUUGCUUUAUCUCGUAUUUUUUUUUCUGUUAUUGUAGUUGUACAUUUUAAAUACAAUCUUUCUAUUGAGAAAUAUCACACUGACGGUGAAUAAAUAUUAUUCAUGCAAGUAACUAUCCUUCCAGCUAUCCCCAAAUCAUCCUUUUCAUGUUCCUGCUCAAUGAAACUUUCAAAAUCAUUUAUUCACUCAUAUUUCUUGGCAAGUUUUCCUUGAUUGCCUGCUGUGUAGAAGCAGAGAAAGUGACAGGGUGAUGUCCUCCAUUGCUAUUAAAGCCCCAAAGGGCUUUGCCCAGGGUUCCGCUUGUUUUUUAGUGAACUGUGAGGUGGAAUUACCCAGGAUUAUCACAUGGUUAGCCCUGUUGACUGACUCUGCCUAGAUACCCAGAACCCUGGAGUGUUCUUCACGCUAACAGUCCUUUCUUCCUGUGCUUCUAGAGACCAGGCAGAAGUUACCAACUUCCCGGAAUAAUUGUCAGCUGUGCGUUUUGGUUGUUUGGGUUUAGCUUCCUCUCCGUUCUCUAAAUAUUUUCUUUUUCAAAGUGCCUCACUUCCUUUGUUAGAAACUAAGUUUCCCUGACCUUCUCUUUUCCUUUCUGUUUCUAAUGGUCCUUGAAAUGAAAAUAGUUCGUUGAGUUUCCUUAUGUGUACUUGGGCAGCCUACUCAAUGACUCCUGGGAGAAUAAUAGCUGGUGACCUGUGGCGCUCUCCGUUGAGAGAGAAUGCGCAGUUUGCAUUUUGGCAGCUAAACAUAGGGAUGGAUUUAAAAACGAAUGUGUAAGUAGCUGGAUAAUAAUUUCCAGUAUGAUGUCAACAUUUCUUUAAAACAAAGCCUUAAUUUCUAAUCUUCUGUCACUUUGGUCUCAAGGAUGAGUUUGCCUUUAUGAAUGUAAUAUGGCAAUCUUGAAAGCCUUACCUCAAGUCAAAUAUUUCUUCUUGAAGAUGUUCUACUUUGCAAGGUACUGCCCACAGGAACGUAUACCCUAAAUAAUGACUUUUUUUGUUGUUGUUGGCUUCAAAUUCUGGAUUUAGUUUUAUUUUCUCCUAAAAUUGUGAGUGUAGUCGUGAUUGCUUUUUUACUACCAUGUCAUACUAUUUCCUCCUUGGGGGUCCUAUGCAAAUUGCGUAUGGUCCCAUCCACUUCAUUUGGUACUUCCCUUAUGAACUAGAAAUCUUCCAAAUGGUUCUUUGCAUAUCCUGAUCGGACAUAUUCUCACUGAAGUCUCAGGACCAACCCCCGCACCUUGUCAUAUGUGUAUGACUUAGUUUUUGACUUCCUGGCUUAGUGCUUUCUGGUUUAGGGUUGCUAUAAUUAUUGUCUUCAGCAAUUGUUCAUUUUUCUUUCUUUUUAUCCAUUACUUCUUUUAUGUCGAAAUUUCCCCACGUGAUCAAGUAAUUAUUCUUUGUAACUUUUCUUGGCAGAGAUCAGCCCGGAUUUCUUACUGUGGAUGUGGCUUUGAUUUGUGUCCUAGUCCUUUUUUGUUCCCAAAAUAGCCCAAGGAGUCCAUUCCUUCUACCAAACAACCAACCAUCUGAGUGAAAUAAAUAUGUUUAGCUACUUGAUUGAGCCACUAUUAGAUGGGGGUUAAAUUGCCAUAUACUGUGGAUUUCAGGCAUCUUAGUAUGUAGGUCAAAUUCUCUAGUGUAUUACUAGUUUGAUGGAUUACUUUAUUUUUAGUGGCCUAACUACAUGAAGUUAUGUGUUUAAAAUGUGGCUGGAAUCUAUAGGAUAAACAGUUGCAACUCUAAUAACAUGGCUACAAAUCUCCAGCUUAAUAUGUGAUAAUAAAUACAUUGUAGUAUUGGGUUGAAGAGGAUUGUAUAGGAAGCAGAAAAACCGAGAUCUGUCCCAGCACUGCUACAACACACCUCUUUUUACCCAUCUAGGCCUGAGUUUCUCAUUGGUACAAUGAGGAAUUCAACUAUAGUUUCUGAGGCCUUGUCUAGCUCUGAAAAGCUAGGAUUCUACUUUCAAAUGGAUAUCAGCUGCCACUUCUUGACUUUGGAAGACGGUGUAGACCAUUAAAGGAUCCUUCUUCAAAUUUCUAUGUCUCUUCUUUUUUUUGGAGAUAGAGUCUCGCUGUUUCGCCCAGGCGGGAGUGCAGUGGUGCGGUCUCGGCUCACUGAAAGCUCCGCCUCCUGGGUUCACGCCAUUCUCCUGCCUCAGCCUCCCGAGUAGCUGGGAGUACAGGUGCCCGCCACCACGCCCAGCUAUUUUUUCUGUAUUUUUAGUAGAGAUGGGGUUUCACUGUGUUAGCCAGGAUGGUCUUGAUCUCCUGACCUGGUGAUCUGCCAGCCUUGGCCUCCCAAAGUGCUGGGAUUACAGGCGUGAGCCACUGCGCCGGGCCUCUAUGUCUCUUCUUAUCUUUGGUUUCAGAAGACAGUUUAAUCUUAUAGCAGAAAACACUUUUUAGUGAAACAAACUGGAUCUUGCCGUGAAACAAGGAAUAACUGAUUAAUUUGGCAGAAUGACAUCAACUUAUUUAGGUUGCUUUGUUCUAGAUUGUUUUAUUCAGUAAUUAGCUCUUAAGACCCCUGGGAGCCUGUGCUCUACCCAGACACUAACAACAGUCUCUAUCCAGUUGCUGGUUCUGGGUGACGUGAUCUCCCCAUCAAGAUCAACUUACUUCCUGUGGCCCAUUAGGGAAGUGGUGACCUCGGGAGCUAUUUGCCUGUUGAGUGCACACACCUGGAAACAUACUGCUCUCAUUUUUUCAUCCACAUCAGUGAGAAAUGAGUGGCCCGUUAGCAAGAUAUAACUAUGCAAUCAUGCAACAAAGCUGCCUAAUAACAUUUCAUUUAUUACAGGACUAAAAGUUCAUUAUUGUUUGUAAAGGAUGAAUUCA